rnacentral:rRNA from 1 species
CCUACGGGAGGCAGCAGUGAGGAAUAUUGGUCAAUGGACGAGAGUCUGAACCAGCCAAGUAGCGUGAAGGAUGACUGCACUAUGGGUUGUAAACUUCUUUUAUAUGGGAAUAAAAUGUUCCACGUUUGAGAUUUUGUAUGUACCAUAUGAAUAAGGAUCGGCUAACUCCGUGCCAGCAGCCGCGGUAAUACGGAGGAUCCGAGCGUUAUCCGGAUUUAUUGGGUUUAAAGGGAGCGUAGUGGGAUUGUUAAGCCAGUUGUGAAAGUUUGCGGCGCAACCGUAAAAGUGCAGUUAAAACUGGCAGUCUUGAGUACAGUAGAGGUAGGCGGAAUUCGUGGUGUAGCGGUGAAAUGCUUAGAUAUCACGAAGAACUCCGGUUGCGAAGGCAGCUCGCUGGACUGCCACUGACAUUGAUGCUCGAAAGUGUGGGUAUCAAACAGGAUUAGAUACCCGAGUAGUC